UCCGAUGAUGGCAUGAAAUCUUUGAGACCUGAAUCUCCUAAUUGAUGACAUCUACAAGCAUAAUCGCUGAGGAU